rnacentral:rRNA from 1 species
UACACACGUCAUACAAUGGCCGGUACAGAGGGCUGCCAACCCGCGAGGGGGAGCCAAUCCCAGAAAACCGGUCGUAGUCCGGAUCGCAGUCUGCAACUCGACUGCGUGAAGUCGGAAUCGCUAGUAAUCGCGGAUCAGCUUGCCGCGGUGAAUACGUUCCCGGGUCUUGUACACACCGCCCGUCACACCAUGGGAGCGGGUUCUGCCAGAAGUAGUUAGCCUAACCGCAAGGAGGGCGAUUACCACGGCAGGGUUCGUGACUGGGGUGAAGUCGUAACAAGGUAACCGUA